UCGGGAAUUUUGCACAAUGGCCGAAAGGCUGAUGCAGCAACGCCGCGUGAGCGAAGAAGGCCUUCGGGUUGUAAAGCUCUGUUGCCUGCGAAGAAGGGCCCUGUCAGGAAAUGGGCGGGGUUUGACGGUAGCAGGCGAGGAAGCCCCGGCAAACUACGUGCCAGCAGCCGCGGUAAUACGUAGGGGGCGAGCGUUGUCCGGAAUUACUGGGCGUAAAGGGCGUGUAGGCGGCCUGUUAAGUCAGGGGUGAAAGACCGGGGCUCGACCCCGGGGGUGCCUCUGAAACUGGCGGGCUUGAGUGCUCUAGAGGGCAGUGGAAUUCCCGGUGUAGCAGUGAAAUGCGUAGAGAUCGGGAGGAACACCAGUGGCGAAGGCGGCUGCCUGGGGAGUCACUGACGCUGAGGCGCGAAAGCUAGGGGAGCAAACAGG
rnacentral:rRNA from 1 species